UACAGAGGUCCCAAGCGUUGUUCGGAUUCAUUGGGCGUAAAGGGUGCGUAGGUGGUGAGGUAAGUCGGAUGUGAAAUCUCCAAGCUCAACUUGGAAACUGCAUUGGAAACUACCUUGCUAGAGGAUUUGAGGGGGGAUUGGAAUACUUGGUGUAGCAGUGAAAUGCGUAGAUAUCAAGUGGAACACCAGUGGCGAAGGCGAAUCCCUGGAAAAUACCUGACAUCUGAGGCACGAAAGCUAGGGGAGCAAACAGG
rnacentral:rRNA from 1 species